UUGACCUCGGAUCAGGUAGGACUACCCGCUGAACUUAAGCAUAUCAAUAAGCGGAGGAAAAGAAACCAACAGGGAUUGCCCUAGUAACGGCGAGUGAAGCGGCAACAGCUCAAAUUUGAAAUCUGGCCCUCGGGUCCGAGUUGUAAUUUGUAGAGGAUGC
rnacentral:rRNA from 1 species